AAUCUCGAGACGCGUUUUCCGCGCGGCGCUAUGGACAAGUUCCUUGGAACAGGACAUCGUAGAGGGUGAAAAUCCCGUACUUGCCAUGGAUGCACCGUGCUUUGUGAUACGUGCUCAAAGAGUCGAGUUGUUUGGGAUUGCAGCUCAAAAUGGGUGGUAGACUCCAUCUAAAGCUAAAUAUCGGGGAGAGACCGAUAGCGAACAAGUACCGUGAGGGAAAGAUGAAAAGCACUUUGGAAAGAGAGUUAAAAGUACGUGAAAUUGUCGAAAGGGAAGCGCUUGAAGUCAGCCAUGCCGCUCAGGACUCAGCCUGGCUUUUGCUUGGUGUACUUCCUGGGUAGCAAGUCAGCAUUGGUUUGGACCGUCGGAGAAGCAUGGCAGGAAUGUGACGCCCUCGGGCGUGUUAUAGCCUGCCAUUGGAUACGCCGGUCUAGACCAAGGAACGCAGUGCGCCUUACGGCGGGUCUUCGGACACCUUCGCACUUA
rnacentral:rRNA from 1 species